rnacentral:rRNA from 1 species
GGGUUGUGAGGUUAAGCGACUAAGCGUACACGGUGGAUGCCCUGGCAGUCAGAGGCGAUGAAGGGCGUGCUAAUCUGCGAUAAGCGCCGGUAAGGUGAUAUGAACCGUUAUAACCGGCGAUACCCGAAUGGGGAAACCCAGUGUGACUCGUCACACUAUCAUUAACUGAAUCCAUAGGUUAAUGAGGCGAACCGGGGGAACUGAAACAUCUAAGUACCCCGAGGAAAAGAAAUCAACCGAGAUUCCCCCAGUAGCGGCGAGCGAACGGGGAGGAGCCCAGAGCCUGAAUCAGCAUGUGUGUUAGUGGAAGCGUCUGGAAAGGCGCGCGAUACAGGGUGACAGCCCCGUACACAAAAGCGCAUGUGCUGUGAGCUCGAUGAGUAGGGCGGGACACGUGGUAUCCUGUCUGAAUAUGGGGGGACCAUCCUCCAAGGCUAAAUACUCCUGACUGACCGAUAGUGAACCAGUACCGUGAGGGAAAGGCGAAAAGAACCCCGGCGAGGGGAGUGAAAAAGAACCUGAAACCGUGUACGUACAAGCAGUGGGAGCACCCUUUGGGUGUGACUGCGUACCUUUUGUAUAAUGGGUCAGCGACUUAUAUUCUGUAGCAAGGUUAACCGAAUAGGGGAGCCGGAGGGAAACCGAGUCUUAAUUGGGCGU